rnacentral:rRNA from 1 species
GACGAACGCUGGCGGCGUGCUUAACACAUGCAAGUCGAACGGUGAAGCGCCUUCCUUUUUGGUUGGUGUGGAUGAGUGGCGAACGGGUGAGUAACACGUGAGUAACCUGCCCCCUUCUGCUGGAUAACCGCAUGAAAGUGUGGCUAAUACGGGAUAUUCUGGGUCUGUCGCAUGAUGGGUCUGGGAAAGAUAUUGUUUCGGUGGGGGAUGGGCUCGCGGCCUAUCAGGUUGUUGGUGGGGUGAUGGCCUACCAAGGCGGUGACGGGUAGCCGGCCUGAGAGGGUGGACGGUCACACUGGGACUGAGACACGGCCCAGACUCGUACGGGAGGCAGCGGUGGUGAAUAUUGCACAAUGGGCGCAAGCCUGAUGCAGCGACGGCGCGUGAGGGAUGGAGGCCGUCGGGUUGUGAACCUCUUUCGCCAGUGAAGCAGGCCUGCCUCGUUUGUGGGUGGGUUGACGGUAGCUGGAUAAGAAGCGCCGGCUAACUACGU